rnacentral:lncRNA from 8 species
AUGCGAGUUCCAUCGCUCCUCCAUCCCCUUUCUGGGUUGCAUCAUCUCUGCUGGGAGUGUCCAGAUGGAUCCCGGGAAUGGGAGAGCAGUGAUGCAUUGGCCUCAGCCUACAUCCAGGGUGCAGCUGCAACGUUUCCUGGGGUUCCCAAAUUUCUAUCGCCGCUUUAUCCGGGGUUACAGCACCCUGGCUUCCCCCUUGUCAGCACUCACCUUGCCCAAGGUUCCAUUCACGUGGUCCCCAGCUGUUGCCGGGACCUCAAACAUCGCUUCACCACAGCUCCCAUCCUGGUUCAUCCGGACCCAUCUCGUCAAUUCGUGGUGGAGGCCAAUGCUUCGGACGUUGGUGUGGGGGCUGUCCUGUUUCAGCGUACUGCCCUUGACCUCAAGCUACAUCCCUGUGCCUUCUACUCCCAACGCCUUAAUGCCACAGAAAGGAACUACGAUGUGGGGAAUCGGGACCUUCUCGCAGUGAAGAUGGCGUUGGAGGAAUGGAGGCAUUGGUUGGAAGGGGCGGAACAUCUGUUCAUCGUGUGGACUGACAACAAGAACCUGGAGUAUCUCCGCACCAUCAAGUGCCUCAACUCCAGGCAAGCCAUAUGGGCCCUGCUGUUCACACGGUUCAACUUCUCCCUCUCGUACCGGCCGAGAUCCAAGAAUAUCAAGCUGGAUGCACUGUCCCGCAACUAUAGCCCCACGACUACUACCCCGGAACCCGAAACCAUCCUUCCCACCUCAUGUCUGGUGACGGCACUCAGCUGGGCAAUAGGGAAGAAGGUCCAUGAGGCGCAGCGUUCCCAGCCAAACCCCAGGAGGGCCCUGAUAACCGGAUGUUUGUUCCUGACACUGUCCAUUCCGCAGUCCUGGAAUGGGCCCACUACUCCAGGCUGGCCUGCCACCCAGGCGCCCUUUGGACCCUGGCCUUUGUGCGACAGCGUUUUUGAUGGCCUACCAUGGUCCUGGACUUGUCUGCAUUCGUCACCGCUUGCACAGUUUGUUCACAGAACAAGACUCCUCUGCAAGCUCCGGCUGGUCUCCCCCAACCUCUGCCUGUCCCCGACCGUCCCUGGUUUCACAUCUCCCUGGACUUUGUCACGGGUCUUCCCCCAUCUGAUGGCAACACCGCCAUCCUGA